CGCAGGGGCGGGGCUUUGCGGACGCAAGCACGUCGAAGCGCUGCUCCCGGAGCCGCGGAGGCUGCGGGUUUGGCUGCGGCGGUUGCUGUGGCGGAGGUUGGAGGUUGGAGAGAAAUCCAGGUACUCACUUGACUGGUACCUUCUGCCACCAUGGGGGAGCUUUUCCGGAGUGAAGAAAUGACACUGGCCCAGCUUUUUCUACAGUCAGAAGCUGCUUAUUGUUGUGUCAGUGAAUUAGGAGAACUUGGAAAGGUUCAGUUUCGUGACUUAAAUCCAGAUGUGAAUGUUUUCCAACGGAAAUUUGUGAAUGAGGUUAGAAGAUGUGAAGAAAUGGAUCGAAAGCUUCGAUUUGUUGAGAAAGAGAUAAGAAAAGCUAACAUUCCGAUUAUGGACACCGGUGAAAACCCAGAGGUUCCCUUCCCCCGGGACAUGAUUGACUUAGAGGCCAAUUUUGAGAAGAUUGAAAAUGAACUGAAGGAAAUCAACACAAACCAGGAAGCUCUGAAGAGAAACUUCCUGGAACUGACCGAAUUAAAAUUUAUACUUCGCAAAACUCAGCAAUUUUUUGAUGAGGCUGAAUUGCAUCAUCAGCAGAUGGCGGAUCCAGACUUGUUGGAAGAGUCCUCAUCCCUCUUGGAGCCAAGUGAGAUGGGAAGAGGCGCGCCUUUAAGACUUGGCUUCGUGGCUGGUGUCAUUAACCGGGAGCGCAUCCCUACUUUUGAGCGCAUGCUUUGGCGGGUAUGCCGGGGAAAUGUGUUCCUGCGACAGGCUGAAAUCGAGAACCCCCUGGAGGAUCCUGUGACUGGCGACUACGUGCACAAGUCUGUGUUUAUCAUUUUCUUCCAAGGCGAUCAGCUGAAAAACAGAGUCAAGAAAAUCUGUGAAGGGUUCCGAGCCUCACUCUAUCCCUGUCCUGAGACACCACAGGAGAGGAAGGAAAUGGCUUCUGGAGUGAAUACCAGGAUUGAUGAUCUCCAAAUGGUUCUGAAUCAAACGGAGGAUCACCGCCAGAGGGUUCUGCAGGCAGCUGCUAAGAACAUCCGUGUCUGGUUCAUCAAAGUGCGGAAGAUGAAGGCCAUCUAUCACACCCUGAACCUGUGCAACAUAGAUGUGACUCAGAAAUGCUUGAUUGCAGAGGUCUGGUGCCCUGUCACCGACCUUGACUCCAUCCAGUUUGCACUCAGAAGGGGCACGGAACACAGUGGUUCCACUGUACCUUCCAUUUUGAACAGGAUGCAGACAAACCAGACUCCCCCAACCUAUAACAAAACCAACAAGUUUACCUAUGGCUUUCAGAACAUAGUAGAUGCUUAUGGAAUUGGAACUUACCGAGAGAUAAAUCCAGCUCCAUAUACUAUUAUCACGUUCCCUUUUCUGUUUGCUGUGAUGUUUGGAGACUUUGGUCAUGGCAUUUUAAUGACCCUUUUUGCUGUGUGGAUGGUACUGAGGGAGAGCCGGAUCCUUUCCCAGAAGAAUGAGAAUGAGAUGUUUAGCACUGUGUUCAGUGGUCGAUACAUUAUUUUAUUGAUGGGUGUGUUCUCCAUGUACACUGGCCUCAUCUACAAUGAUUGCUUUUCCAAGUCUCUUAAUAUCUUUGGGUCAUCCUGGAGUGUACGGCCGAUGUUUACUUAUAAUUGGACUGAAGAGACGCUUCGGGGGAACCCUGUUCUACAGCUGAACCCAGCCCUCCCUGGAGUGUUUGGUGGACCAUACCCUUUUGGCAUUGAUCCAAUUUGGAACAUUGCUACCAAUAAACUGACCUUCUUGAACUCCUUUAAGAUGAAGAUGUCUGUUAUCCUUGGUAUCAUCCAUAUGCUGUUUGGAGUCAGCCUGAGUCUGUUCAACCAUAUCUAUUUCAAGAAGCCCCUGAAUAUCUACUUUGGAUUUAUUCCUGAAAUAAUCUUCAUGACCUCUUUGUUUGGCUAUUUGGUUAUCCUUAUUUUUUACAAGUGGACGGCCUAUGAUGCUCAUACCUCUGAGAAUGCACCAAGCCUUCUGAUCCAUUUCAUAAACAUGUUCCUCUUUUCCUACCCAGAGUCUGGUUAUUCAAUGUUGUAUUCUGGACAGAAAGGAAUUCAGUGUUUCCUGGUAGUGGUUGCACUACUGUGUGUACCUUGGAUGCUGCUGUUUAAACCAUUGGUCCUUCGCCAUCAGUAUUUGAGGAGAAAGCAUUUGGAAGGGCAACCUGUGGAGGCCCCAGUCAGCCCAAACCCGAGCCAACAGGGACUAGAGGCAGCAGCGGCUGCAACAGGAACUCUCAACUUUGGUGGGAUCAGGGUGGGCAACGGACCGACAGAGGAGGAUGCUGAGAUUAUUCAGCAUGACCAGCUCUCCACCCACUCAGAGGACGCAGACGAGCCUACCGAGGACGAAGUGUUUGACUUUGGGGACACCAUGGUCCACCAGGCCAUCCACACCAUCGAGUACUGCCUGGGCUGCAUCUCCAACACUGCCUCCUACUUGCGGCUCUGGGCCCUCAGCCUCGCUCAUGCGCAGCUGUCUGAGGUGCUUUGGACCAUGGUGAUCCACAUCGGCCUGAGCGUGAAGAGCUUGGCAGGAGGUUUGGUGCUGUUCUUCUUCUUCACUGCCUUUGCCACCCUGACCGUGGCCAUCCUCCUGAUCAUGGAGGGCCUCUCGGCCUUUCUCCACGCACUGCGCUUACACUGGUCCCCCUGAACUGAAGUGAUGAGUGGCAGGACAGCAGGCUUCGGAAUUGGGCGACCUGGGUUGGAAUUCCAGCACUGUCACACCAGGCAGGGGACCUGAGCAGAACAUUCACUGCCAAGAUUACUGUGAGCAAGUAGGAAGUAAUGCACACACCAAGUGCUGCCACAGCAAAAGCAGGGUUGAGUUCCAGAAUAAAUUCUACAGCGGGACCGGUUUCAAGUUCUUACCCUUCUCCUUCGAGCAUAUUCGGGAAGGGAAGUUUGAAGAGUGAGUCCCUGUGAGGGCCGUGUGCCCCAUGCUACCCUCCCCGCCUCCGUCCACAGUGAUCAGCUGUGCCUCUCUGCCUGUUGGUUGUGAUCUGUGGGCACCAGCUCAUUCGUGUCACCCCGUCUGUGAGUCAUUUAGAUAGAAUAGUCCUCCUUGGGUCUCCCACCACCCCUAGCUUUGUGUGUAGUGUAGUGAUUUUCUGGCUGUCACUCAUACUCACUGGGCACCAGCCUUGCCCUCUUAGCCUCCAUCCAUCCAGACAGCCCUUCCCACCUCCUGGUGGUGAGCCAGUCUGCAUUCCCACGCCAUCCCAAAGCCCUUUCAUCUUCCCUGUGCAUUGUAGAUGGAAGGAGCACCCAUGCCAUUCACAUCUAGACUUUGAGUUCCCUGCAUCUGCCACCGUAGUUUCUAGCAGGAGUAGUGGGGGGAAUAAUACAGGUUCUUCCCUAGAAGGGGACACUGGUAACAUGUCCCACUCUUGGAUUAGCAGGGGUGGGUCCAGGAAGAUGAUAUUUGCGUCUUUUGCCCACCCCCCUCUCGUGCUUGUUAAUCAGGCAUUCAGCUGGACCCAACUAGGCCAUCAUGAGUGGCUUCUCCCUGUCAUCCCCAGGGGUCAUAGGAUAUCUACACUGCCUUUCUGACCCCACCGUGCACUCCCAUCCUUUCCUCUCUCCCCGUUCAUGCCCUGCACUACAUAGCACAGCCGGGAUGCUUGGAACAGAGGCCUUGGCUGCUCCGCAGUGCACAGGGCUUCCCUCUCUCGGGGUUGGCUUCUUCCCAGGCCUUGCAUGGGCCCUGCCCACAAGCACACCCUCAGGCCGAGGGUGCAGACUAAUGCUCUUCCCUGGUGGAGACCCUGAGAUCUUCCCCACCCCCAAUCAUGAUGUCUUCAAUGUGGGACUGGGGUCCUCUUGGUUCUGCCUGCAGCCUGCCUGGCUCCGCCCCUAGUGCCCCCUCCUCACCACACUGGCCCCAGGUCUCAGGAGGGGUGUCCUGGGCAGGGAAGGUCAGUGUCACUGAUGGUUUGCUGUUUGGAAGCCAUUGGCAGGGCUGCCGUGCAUGUGGCUGUGAGGGCUGCACAGUCCUGCCAAGGGGCUUCCUCCUUGUCACCCCAAACCUUGUAAUCAUAUGCUGGCGUGGCAGCCCUGGCUAAGUUAAUCCCCACCGCUUUCAGUGGUAGAAAGAAUUCCCUGAGUGGGCCAGGCUGGUGCCCUCCUCCCACCCUGGCUUUUCUGAGUGAGCUGCCUGGAGCCCUCAUCCCCUCUCCCAGGCUGGGCCGGCCCUGGGCGGGGCCACUGUGUGCUGGCCCACUGUGACCUGACCCGACCUUGUGCAGCCCCCCUGCCCUGGUGUCCUGGGUUUUCGUGAUGAUCUUUGCUCUGUUUCCAGUGGGGUUUGAAGCAGAGUUCAGGGAACCCUGCCCAAGGCCCUCCUGUUCAGACAUUCCUAUGUUGAAUAAAGUAUGUUUGACUCCCCCA